rnacentral:lncRNA from 1 species
CCUUUGGCUGCAACAUAUUGUACAACUCAAGGACAGAAAAGCCAUUCGUUUCAUACCCUUUCUAUUCUGAUAUCUGUGAACUAGCUGCUAACAGUGACGCCCUUGUCAUUUGUUGUGCAUUGACUGCUGAAACCCACCACCUGAUCAACAAGAAAGUCUCGUUAAAGCUGGGAAGAGAUGGCGUGAUUGUAAACGUAGGACGCGGAGCUAUCAUCGAUGAGAAGGAAAUGGUGCGGUGUUUGGUGAAAAGAGAGAUUGGAGGUGCUGGUUUGGAUGUGUUUGAGGAUGAGCCUGAAGUUCCUGAAGAGCUCUUUGCAUUGGACAAUGUUGUACUGUCACCACAUUAUGCUACCUACACACCAGAAUGUUUCAUGGCUUUGUGUGAACUAGUAGCAGGGAAUUUCGAAGCAUUCUUCUCAAAUAAACCGUUGCUUUCACCGGCUGUGGAUAAUUAAAUCGAUUUCUAUUUGCAGGUUAGUGUCUCCAUGACUUUUUGCAUCAUCUUGCAUGCCAUUUUGGUUUGUUUCCCUUGGGAAUCGUUCAUACAGAAACCACUUGCAAUGGAGCUUCAGCCAUUUCUGUUCUAAUGUUUCUUCUAGUAAGGUUCGUGCACUUUUAUAAAUCGAUGCAGGGGGCCAAAUGCUGAUGCGAUGAAUGGGGCUAUUAGAGAGUACAAAGAUGAAGAACUGAGGUGUUAUCGUUACUGGUAUAUAUUUGCGAGUUGUAUGAUUUGCAUGCAGCGGACGGUGUAGAUUUGCUUGCCAAAUAAAAUGAUUGUUAAGAGGAUGCUUGUUACUAAAAUACGAAUAUGGUUUGAAUACUUUGGGUUGAGUUUUAUUCUUCUUCAUAAGGAGGUAUAUAUAGGAGUUUACAUGAGAGUUUUAUAAGGAAUUAGAUACAGUAAAGAAUUAGGAAAGUAUCUCCUAAUUGUACAAUGAUUUAUUACUUAUAUAAAAAUAGGAAACUAAAUCCCUUAAUUAAUCAAGGAAGUAAAUCUCCUUGAUUAAUUAGGAGACUCACGUCAACACUCCUCCUCAAGUUGGUGCAUAUAUGUCACCAAUGCCCAACUUGGUAAGUGAGUCAUGAAAUACUCUUCGACAAACAGCUCUGGUUAAAAGAUAUCUACCAGUUAAUCUUCUGAUCUUACGAAUGGUAGGCGGAUGAUCUUUUUCUCAAUAUCGAUAGCUGACUUGUUGUCACAAUGCAACUCCAUUGGCUUUUCUGGCUUGAAGCCCAAUUCUGUCAAGAGUCUUCUGAUCCACAAUAAUUUACAAACUCAGUGAGCCAUUCCUCGAUACUCUGCUUCAGCACUAGAUCGAGAAACCGCAUUUUGCUUUUUACUCCGCCAAGUGACUAGGUUACCUUCCACGAAUGUAAAGUAACAUGAAGUAGCGCGUCUAUCUGUAAUGAAGCUAGCCUAAUCAGCAUCUGUGUAUCCAACAACUUCAAGAUCUCCAUUUUUUGAGAACAUUAAUCUUUUCCUAGGGGUUGACUUUAAGUAUCUUAAGAUCCAAUCAACUGCAUUCCUAUGAGAAACACUGGGCGAAUGCAUAAACUGACUAACCACACUCACCGCAUAUGCAAUAUCUGGUCUUGUGUGUGCCAGAUAUAUUAACCUCCAACAAGGCGUUGGUACUGUUCCUUAUUGGUUGGUUCUUGGUCCAUAUCUUCACAUAACUUGUGAUUCAUCUCAAUGGGUGUGUCAGCAGGCUUACAUCCAAGCAUUCAUGUUUUAGUGAAUAGAUCCAUUACAUACUUCCUUUGAGACAGAAAUAUAUUAGUUUUUGAUCUUGCUACUUCGAUUCCGAGAAAGUGCUUCAAAUCACCUAAAUCCUUCAUCUCAAAUUCCUGAGACAAAUACUUUUGCAACUUCAGUUGCUCUUCUGCUUCAUUUCCAGUUACGAUUAUGUCAUCUACAUAAAAAAUCAAUGCAGUAAGUUUUCCUUCAUCAAGCUUCAAGAACAGGGUGUGAUCUGAAUUACUCUGUGUAUAUCCAAAAUUCUUCAUAGAUUUAGUAAAUCUGCCAAACCAUGCCCUGGGAGAUUGCUUUAACCCAUAUAAUGACUUUCUGAGCUUGCAAACUUGAUUUUUCUUGUCAGGAGUUGAAUUACAUCUUGGGGGUAAGUCCAUAUAUACUUAUUCUUCCAAGUCUCCAUGUAAGAAUGCAUUUUUUACAUCAAACUGAUGUAGUGGCCAAUCAAGAUUUGCUGCUAGAGAAAAUAUGACUCUAAUAGUGUUAAUCUUGGCUACUGGGGCAAAGGUCUCCUCGUAAUCUAUCCAGUAUCUUUGUGUGUACCCCUUCGCCACCAAUCUAGCUUUAUAUCUUUCAACGGAUCCAUCUGCUUUGAGUUUCACAGUAUAAAUCCACAUGCAUCCUACUGUUUUAUUUCCAUGAGGUAAGGGCAUGAGUUCCCAUGUGACAUUCUUUUGGAGAGCUCGCAUUUCUUCAUUCAUAGCUUUUUUCUAUUUUGGGUCUCCUAGUGCUUCAGUUACACUGUUAGGGACAAAUAUGUCAGUCAAUUGCUUCACAUAGUAUACAUAUGACUCUGAUAAUCUGUUGAGAGAUAUAUAAUUAUUAAUGGGGUAUUUCCCUUUGGCUUUAAUAUCUGUUUCAUAUUGUACUCGAGGUUUGCCACGGUUCUUCCUUUCUGGAAGCUGAUAUGUAGGCUAUGUGUCUUCUAAAAUCAAAUCAUCAUGAGAUAUUUCAUUAGUGUUAUCAGUUUCAGGAAAAGAUGUUACUUAAAUGACAUCCUCAGCAGGUGAUUGGUGCAGUGAGCUAAAGACGGCAAAAUCUCAUAAAACGAUUCAAUUUCCUCAUCUUGAUUUUGACAACGUGAAGAUAACUGAUCGUUUUCCUCUGGCGACCGGUCACUGUUUGCUGGCGAUUGAUCGUUUUGAAGUAGAUUCUCUGUAGUUGAAGAACUAAGGAGAGUUGACCGGUUGCUUUCCACUGGCAAUCGAUCAUUUUGAUGCAGAGUGACGUCCUGGGGAAAAAAAAUUGAGAAUUGAAGCAGUGGUGGAUUCUCGAUUCUUCUCUUGGGCUGUUGAAAAAUAUAAGUCAUGUCCCCAAAACACAACAUCUAUGGAGGUGAAGACCUUCUGACUAGGAGGAUGAUAACACCGGUAUCCUUUCUGAUGAGGUGCAUAGCCAAUGAAAACACACUUUUCAGCUCGGGGAUCCAAUUUACUUCGUUAGUGAUCAUGUAAGUGGACAAAUACAAUACAGCCAAAAAUUAGGGAUUCCAGGUUUCGGGUGGGAGGUGUUUGGAUAUGGUGGUGAAGUGUUUGAAGUGGUGUUUAGAAAUUUAAGACAAUAGAAGGAAACCAAUUGAUAAGGUAUGCUACAGAAACGAUUGCUUCGCCCCAAAAUGAUCGUGGCAUAUUGGCACCAAAGAGAGAGGCACGAACGACUUCCAAUAAGUGUCUGUUCUUUCUUUAAGCCACCUCAUUCUGUUGGGGAGUGCAAUGGCAUGAGCGUUGAUGUAUGAUGCCAUGAUCUUGUAAGAACUGGUUAAGAUCAUGGUUGAGAAAUUCUCCGCCAUUGUUAGAACAAAGAACCUGAAUUCUGGCAUGAAAUUGAGUAUCCACCAUUUGAUAAAAUUGUUGAAACUUGGAACUAACUUCCCCUUUAGUUUUGAGAAGGGAAACCCAAGUUAUGCGUGUGCAAUCAUCUAUAAACGUGAUAAACCAUUGCGUCCCUGUCAGAGUGGCAAUUUUAGCAGGUCCCCAGACAUCAGAAUGAACAAGGAAAAACGGAACCAAACUCUUAUUUGAACUUAAUGGGAAAGGGACACGAUGGCUCUUAGCCAAUUCACACGUAUCACACUGGAAGCUGGAAACAUCAAGACUGGAAAAUAAUGAUCGAAAUAACUUCUUAAGAUAACCGAACGAGGCAUGCCCAAGACGUUUAUGCCAUAACCAAAUUUUGUCUCUCUCCCCCUCAGAACGAGUUCCACUGGUUCUGAAAGCUUGACCAACCUUGGCCUCAUUAUUUGGUGCCCAGUUUAAGUAGUAGAGUUUGCCCCAUCGAGUACCACAACCAAUCGUCUUUCCUGUGAGGAUGACUAGAAAAACACAAUGAUUCGGCCAAAAUAUUACGGUACAUCCCAAAAUAGUAGUAAGUUGUGCAACAGAUAACAAGUUAUGGUCCAAAGAUGGAACAAGUAAUACAGAAUCCAGAUGUAAGGAAGUAGAGAGAGAUAGAGAGCCCUUCCUAACCACAAGGGAAGGGGUACCAUUAGCAUUAGACACCGCCGACAGAGUGGAUGAUUUGCGAUUAAUAAGUUGGCUAGGAUCAAAAGUAAUGUGAUCCGUAGCACCCGAGUCAAUAAUCUAUGCGGAUUUAUGAGAUGGCGUAUGAAAAGUAGAACCUUUGGUGGUGGCGAUAGAAGCAUGAGUCCGAGUAGCCGAGUCAGCAGGAUUGACCGCAUGCUUUUUUGAGUCUGCAAUAAGGGGCAGAAUUGUAGGAGUUCUUGACAUUGCAGCGGAAGUAAGAUGUGAUAUGAGAAUGUGAGGAAUUGUGAUUGGAGGAAUUUGAUGUAUGAAUUUGAUUAGGGUUUUGGAUUUGAAUAUGAGAAGUUCGAGAUAAGGGUUUAGAGACAACUUAGGAUAGAUUGCUCUGAUACCUUGCUAAAAUACGAAUAUGGUUUGAAUACUUUGGGUUGAGUUUUAUUCUUCCCCAUAAAGAGGUAUAUAUAGGAGUUUACAUAAGAGUUUUACAGGGAAUUAGAUACAGUAAAGAAUUAGGAAAGUAUCUCCUAAUUGUACAAUGAUUUGUCACUUAUAUAAAAAUAGGAAAGUAAAUCCUUUAAUUAAUCAAGGAAGUAAAUUUCCUUGAUUAAUUAGGAGACUCACAUCAACACUUGUUUGUAUAAAAUGCUUUUUUGUCCAGCUUCUUUGAGCAAUUGGAAUAUAAGUUCUAUGCUCCCGUUGCACGUCUCCGCUUUCUUCCUAUCUAUUUCCUCAUGUGAGUCACAUAAGGAGAGAGAUAGGAAGAAGCAAAGGGGAGAUGUGAGGUGAAAAUUAUUUGUAGGAUUUUCUUAGACACUUUUUUUUAUGAAAUACAAUCAGUUUGACAAUCACAAUUAUUUUGCUGACAUUGGAAAUGAAUAUUUUGUGUCAUUUCAAUUUUUGCUCACUUGAAAAUUAAAAUUAAGUUAUAUAUAAAGAUGAGUUGAAAAGAUGUAUUAUGUCUAUAUUUGACACGGUUCAUUAGUUUUCUAAAUCUACAUUAUGAUAUUAUUUUCUAUAUUGAGUGAAAAUAAUGGAGGAAAUUAAAUUGAUGAAUUUUGAGAAGUUUUGCUUUCUUCCAUUGUUGGUUUUGAAUAUUUUGUGGCCAUAUAAUUUCGAUAAUUUCUUUAUAGCAUCUGUGGCAUUUCUCUUCUUACGGAGGGGAGUUCGUGUUGUGACUUUUAUUACAGUCAUUUUGAGGGGCCUGACAAUUCUUGUAUGCCAUAUCCUAAGGACCAGACAAUUCCUAGGGAUCAUACUUCCUAAGGAGGAUUCUGAUAAUGAUAAGGCUGCCAUAGGUGAGGACUAGAAGGAAGCUUCAGAGAGGAAAAUGAAGAAAUCAACGCUAGUUUAUCAGAUCUUUACUUCCUGGCCUACAAAAUAAGAACACACAAACACAAAUAUUUAUCAAUUUUGGUUGAUGCAGAACUUGUAAAAAGUCUAAAAAAUUAUUUGAUAUAAUUUAAAAUAAUUUAGAGAUUGAGAGGAUUUUAGGGUUAAGGCUUCACUUAGGGAUGAGAUUGCAAAUAGUGAGAUUAAAAUUACUGGUUAUAUAGGCGUGUCCAGAUAGUGGGGAUUAGUAGUGUUCAUGUUGGCCCGAUAAAAGUGGUGGUCAUGCGCGAACUACCAAUAUGUACCCAUGCCUCAUUUGGGUUCCAAAAAAGAGAAUGUGAGAAGAAUGAAAUGGGUCUCUGGGUCUUAGAGAAGAGAAGGUGAGAAGAACGUUGACCUUAAUCUCAUUCCAAAUAACCUUGAAAACCCAUUGGUUGAAACUGAUGGGUUGGAUAUGAUUUUAGAUCCUUAAUCGAAACAUUGUUUUGUGAUUUGUGUUAGAUAUUGUUUUUUCUUGUUGGUGUAACAACAAUCAGUUAUACAAUUAUUUAAUUCUAAUAGUUAAAUAAGCACAACAAUAGUAAAAUAAAUAAAUAAAUAAAACGAAAUUCAAUAAAACAAUAAAGAAACCAUGACUGCUUUUGUAACGUAAAGAGCUUCUAUUACACUUUCACUUUUUCUUUCGUUUUUGUAGAAAUGUUAGUUGAACUUAUACCUCAGUUUCAAUUUGUCACUUUGAAGAAAAAUUUAAGAGAAAUGAUACCAUAAUUUUUUAAAAUCCAUGAUUUGUCAUCUGACUUUCAUACCAUCCAAUUUUCCAUAUAUUUUAAGGGUAUUUUAGCCGUUUCAGUUUCAAUGGUAUUUUAAAAAUGGAAAAAUCAUUAUAAUAAAAAUCGUAUAUGUUUUAAACAAUUAAAAUUGAAGAGAAAAUCUCACCUUACCCCUUGUACACCACCGGUGGCUCCAACCAACUCUGCCUACCUUGAAAUCCAUUUCCCCUUCCCUCUUCACAGCCCCUUCCUCCAUUCCCCCUUCUCUCUUUCCCUUCAUCCUUCUGUCUCUACCAUGGAACACAUACCCUCCACACACAAAUUCUCUCAGCCCACCCAAACUAAGUCCACCUUCUUCUUCGUUUUUCUUUUUUAAAAUUGUAGACAUGCUCAAUGAACACCAUAAAAAAAAUUUAUGCAUGCUGAGAGAGAGAGAGAGAGAGGGGGGUCCUGUGCGAUGUGUUUUUGGGGCGGGUGUGGUUGGGUUGGUGGAGAAAGCGAGAAAAAAGGUUUUUUUUUCUUCUUUUUUUUUUUUUGAAAUGGAAAGACUAAAAUACCCUUAAAUGAAUGAAAAAUUGAAUGGUGUUAAAGUGACAAAUUGGAUGGAUUUUGAAAAAUUAAGAUGAUACUUAUCUUAAACUUUUCUUUAAAGUGACAAAUUAAAACUGAGAUAAGUUCAAACGACAUUUCUACAAAAAUUCUUUUUCUUUUUCUAAACUUUUGCUCAGAACUUUAGUGAAAAAGAAAAUCCACCACCCAUACAACGACACUUGACCGACAAAAUCCAAAGACAUAUCAAAAGACCACAGAAAACAUGACGCUCAUCUACCAACACCGUACAUCAGCAACAGUGGGCAUUCAUAAUUCAGUGCAUAUAUCAUACCAACUUCACGUAUUAUUUGUAGUACUUCACUAAUUCCUUCCCUAUUUUCCACAUGGUACCAAAAAUGAGCAUGAUUUAGUGAAAUAUUCAUCUAGGUCUUCAAAUGUUUUCCGCAUUCUCUGUUUGGGUAAGGUAAUCUAUAAUUUCUCGUAAGGAAAAAUGCUAAAGUGAUUACAUUGCUUGAUAAUUAAUAAUGAUGUUUACUCGUUGCAUUAAUUAUUAUGAUAAAUUAUUCAAUGACAAGUUUAUUCAGAUAGUUAAUGUGGUUUUAAAAAAGAAGUAAUGAUUUAGUGUUAUUUAUGGCCAUCGAAAAAAGGGGGGGGGGGGGUGUUAUUUAUGCCUUAAAAAAAAUGUUCAAUUCAAUUCAAUCAUACACCAUUCUUCUGAUUCUACUGUUUCUCUGCUGCAAAUUGCAAUGAGGCUAUUAUUUUUGCGGGGUCCCUCGGCCAUAUGAUGCCCUCUAGAUCAUGAAAACAUUAUAUAAUGGUCUUUUACAUUUGAAAUUCCAUCUAAAACAUAUGCUCAUGCUAUACUAUAAUGGUCCAAUUCCAAUCCCAAGACCUCCCACAACUCCUGAUUAUUCAACCUCCAUUAUGCUUGGCAAUUGCUGAAUCUCAGUUGUCUCAAAAAUUCCAUCUCCUCAAAGCAUGGGAGUCAGAACUCCCUCUAGACCAGUUCUUGACCACCUAUGCAUGCUCAGUCCAAGCCAUGCUUUGCUACCCUUUCACUCAGGUCAAUGCAGACCUCCUCCGGCUACUUCCGGCACUCAAACUUGUUGUCAGCCCCACUGCUGGGGUCAACAACAUCGAUGUGGUCGAGUGCCGGCGGCGUGGAAUAUCAGUGACCACUUCUGGGAGUGCAUUCUCAGAAGAUGUUGCUGAUACUGCCGUAGGUUUGCUCAUUGAUGUGCAUAGAAGAAUCUCAGCAGCAGAUCGGUAUGUGAAAGGGCUUUGGACUAGCAAAGGAGAUUAUCCUCUUGGUUCCAAGGUAAUGCUAGCUAGAGAGAUCUCAUUUACUAAGUUUCUAAACCACAUAUGUACAUUAGUUGAUGGCAGUUGAUUUGUUAAUUAACAAUUAACGAUAAUAAUUGAUGUAAUAAGUACGCAUCCAUAACUCACAAAAACUGAUUAGUUCUUUAGCAUUGGGAAUUGAAGAUUUUCUUUAUUUCUUGUUGUAGUACACAUACACCCUAGUUGAUCCUCUGAUAUUAAAUGAUUGAUCGACUCUCUAUAUAUUUUAUUAUUAUUUAUGUAAUAUUAAUUGUCAACUGGUAAUUAAUUUCAGUUAGGAGGCAAGCGAGUUGGGAUUGUUGGAUUAGGAAGCAUUGGCUCUGAAAUUGCAAAAAGACUGGAGGCCUUUGGGUGCAUUGUCUCAUACAACUCAAGGAGCAAAAAUCCAUCUUUAACAUACCCCUUCUAUUCCAGUGUUCAUGAACUUGCAGCCAAUACUGAUGCCCUCAUCAUCUGUUGUGCAUUGACAGACCAAACCCGCCACAUGAUCAACAAGGAAGUCUUAUCUGCACUGGGAAGAGAGGGAGUGAUUGUCAACGUUGGACGGGGGGCUAUUAUUGAUGAGAAGGAAUUGGUGAGGUUUCUGGUGCAUGGAGAGAUUGGAGGCGCUGGUUUGGAUGUGUUUGAGAAUGAGCCUCAUGUUCCUGAAGAACUCUUUGCUUUGGACAACGUUGUUCUGUCUCCACAUAACGCUGCUUUUACUCCCGAAUCUGUAGAGAGUUCGAGUCAAAUAGUUAUUGCCAAUUUGGAAGCUUUCUUCUCAAAUGAGCCUUUGGUUACUCCAUUCAUGGAUGACUAAAUUUGAUUUUAUGUGUUGUUUCCUUUAUUUAUUUUCAGACAUUUGUUUUUGGCUGAACUCUGUUCUUGUGGAAGUAAUUCCUUGGCUUGCAAGAAGCUAUGAAUUACAAUGACUCUGAUUAUCUCAUUUGACUGGCAGUUUUCAUUGCUCUUAUUUCCAACAUUUUUCUUAAGCUUGUAAUAUCUCUUUGUCAAAUUCCUUUUGAUCAAGCCUUAAUUACAAAAGUCAGCCAAGAUAACACAUGAAAUGAAUACCACAGAAAAAAGAUAAUUGAAAUCCUCUUUUGUUUAAAGUAAAUUAAAGUGGUUUUUAUGAUUGGAAAUGCCAGAUAGGAGGCAAACGAGUUGGGAUUGUCGGAUUGGGAAACAUUGGCUUAGAAGUUGCCAAAAGACUUGAGGCCUUUGGCUGCAACAUAUUGUACAACUCAAGGACAGAAAAGCCAUUCGUUUCAUACCCUUUCUAUUCUGAUAUCUGUGAACUAGCUGCUAACAGUGACGCCCUUGUCAUUUGUUGUGCAUUGACUGCGCUGGGAAGAGAUGGCUGUAAACAUAGGACGCGGAGCUAUCAUCGAUGAGAAGGAAAUGGUGCGGUGUUUGGUGAAAGGAGAGAUUGGAGGUGCUGGUUUGGAUGUGUUUGAGGACGAGCCUGAAGUUCCUGAAGAGCUCUUUGCAUUGGACAAUGUUGUACUGUCACCACAUUAUGCUACCUACACACCAGAAUGUUUCAUGGCUUUGUGUGAACUAGUAGCAGGGAAUUUCGAAGCAUUCUUCUCAAAUAAACCGUUGCUUUCACCGGCUGUGGAUAAUUCAAUAGAUUUCUAUUUGCACGUUAGUGUCUCCAUGACUUUUUGCAUCAUCUUGCAUGCCAUUUUGGUUUGUUUCCCUUGGGAAUCGUUCAUACAGAAACCACUUGCAAUGGAGCUUUGAGUUUCACAGUAUAAAUCCACAUGCAUCCUACUGUCUUAUUUUCAUGAGGUAAGGGCAUGAGUUCUCAUGUGACAUUCUUUUGGAGAGCUCGCAUUUCUUCAUUCAUAGCUUCUUUUCAUUUUGGGUUUCCUAGUGCUUCAGUUACACUGUUGGGGACAAAUAUGUCAGCCAACUACUUCACAGAGUGCACAUGUGACUCUGAUAAUGCUUAGAGAUAUAUAAUUAUUGAUGGGGUAUUUCCCUUUGACUUUAAGAUCUGCUUCAUAUUGUACUCGAGGUUUCCCACGGUUCUUCCUUUCUGGAAUUUGAUAUGUAGGCUUUGUGCCUUCUGAAAUCAAAUCAUCAUGGAAUAUUUCAUUAGUGUUAUCAGUUUCAGGAAAAGAUGUUACCUAAAUGACAUCUUCAGUAGGUGAUUGGUGCAGUACUAGAGCUAAAGCGUGCAAAAUCUCAUAAAACGGUUCAAUUUCUUCCUCCUGAUUUUGACAGCGUGGAGACAACUGAUCGUUUUCCUCUGACGACCGGUCACUGUCUACUGGCGAUUGAUCGUUUUGAAGUAGGUUCCCUGUAGUUGAAAAUUUUAAGGGUCUAAACUAUUUUAUUUAGCCAAUGUCCCCCUACCGGCAAAUUUCCUAAUAUUUCAUCCACUUCUCCGUCAAGUUUGAGGGCAAAUUGUUCAUUCCGUAACCCCCUUCCUCCUCCUAAGUUUCAGGCAGCCGCCACCUAACCCCAACCCAUGAAGCCACCACUCCGACCCACACAUCCACCCUGACCCACGCAACCACCACCCCAGAAGCCAUCUCCAACCAGCAACCAACAAAUUCAGGGGCAAAUUGAAAACUGGGUACAAAUUCAGCCAUUCUCUAUACUGAGUUGCCUGUAUGUAUGGCUGAAUUGAUAUGAAAAAUCUCGUAUAUACAUACGAAACAUCUGGAUGUCGUUUUGUCAAAGGAAGCAGGUAAAGCAUCUACCAGUUGACAGUUGUGGGUCCAUACUCCAUAGAUAAUCAAAAUUGUUUCUCAAUUUCUCAAUUUCUCAAUUGCCACUUCUGAAAUCUAUCUCCACCUCAACAAUUCUCAAGUCUCAAGAACAAGAAGCCAAUCCAAUGGCACUUAAUGGAAAUCACAGUGAACUCCCACAAGUUCUGGUACUUCUCCCACCUGGGUGCUUCACUCUCUUGGAGUCCAACUACUCCCACAAGUUCAAGUUCCUCAAAGCUUGGGACUCUCCUCUCCCUCAAGACCAGUUCUUGGCCACACAUGCAGGCUCUGUUCAGGCCUUGCUGUCCUCUGCCAAUGGACCAACCAUCACUGCCAAUAUCCUACAAAUGCUGCCCUCCUUGAAGGUCAUUGUCACCACCAGCGUUGGCAUUGACCAUCUUGACUUAGCCGAGUGUCGAAGCCGCGGUGUUGCCAUUGCCAGUACCCCUAAAAUCUUCACUGAGGAUGUUGCUGAUAUGGCUGUGGGGCUGCUUCUUGAUGUCAUGAGAAAGAUUUCGGCUGGGGAUCGGUAUGUCAGAGACGGGCUUUGGGCUACCAGAGGAGACUAUGCUCUCGGUUCUAAGGUCAGCAGCAUUCGGUUCUAGCUCACAUGCCUUAAUCUUUUCUGGGUUUUGCUUGUUUCCUGUGGCUAUGGUUGAAAUAAAUUGUUCCUAAUUAUGCUUUCCCUUUCAAUGUUCAGAUGAAAAUAAUCACAAAGGUAGUGUUUGAUUAAAUAUCUUUUAACAAAAAUGAGGUAGUGUUUGAUUAAAUAUCUUUUAACAAAAAUGAUUUUUGGGAGCUAUUCUGGUGUCAAAUUAAUUUUAACAAAGUCAGUUCUUUACCACUUAAUGAUUAUGUUAUGCGUUGAAAUUUGUCAACAGAUAAUUGAAAUUCUCUUUUGUUUAAAGUAAAUUAAAGUGGUUUCUAUGAUUGGAAAUGCCAGAUAGGAGGCAAACGAGUUGGGAUUGUUGGCUUGGGAAACAUUGGCUUAGAAGUUGCCAAAAGACUUGAGGCCUUUGGCUGCAACAUAUUGUACAACUCAAGGACAGAAAAGCCAUUCGUUUCAUACCCUUUCUAUUCUGAUAUCUGUGAACUAGCUGCUAACAGUGACGCCCUUGUCAUUUGUUGUGCAUUGACUGCUGAAACCCACCACCUGAUCAACAAGAAAGUCUUGUUAGCGCUGGGAAGAGAUGGCGUGAUUGUAAACAUAGGACGCGGAGCUAUCAUCGAUGAGAAGGAAAUGGUGCGGUGUUUGGUGAUAGGAGAGAUUGGAGGUGCCGGUUUGGAUGUGUUUGAGGAUGAGCCUGAAGUUCCUGAAGAGCUCUUUGCAUUGGACAAUGUUGUACUGUCACCACAUUAUGCUAC